rnacentral:rRNA from 1 species
UACGGAGGGUGCAAGCGUUAUCCGGAAUCACUGGGCGUAAAGGGCGCGUAGGUGGUCUGUUAAGUCUGGCGUUAAAGCCUGGGGCUCAACCCCAGAUCAGCGUUGGAUACUGGCAGGCUAGACGGCUGGAGAGGCGAGUGGAAUUACCAGUGUAGCGGUGGAAUGCGUAGAUACUGGUAGGAACACCCAUUGCGAAGGCAGCUCGCUGGACAGCACGUGACGCUGAGGCGCGAAAGUGUGGGGAGCAAACCGGAUUAGAUA